rnacentral:rRNA from 1 species
CCACCUUUGACAUGGCAGGAAGGCUCCGGAGAUGGGGCUGUGCUCGAAAGAGAACCUGCACACAGGUGCUGCAUGGCUGUCGUCAGCUCGUGUCGUGAGAUGUUGGGUUAAGUCCCGCAACGAGCGCAACCCUUGCCAUUAGUUGCUACGAAAGGGCACUCUAAUGGGACUGCCGGUGACAAGCCGGAGGAAGGUGGGGAUGACGUCAAGUCCUCAUGGCCCUUAUAGGUGGGGCUACACACGUCAUACAAUGGCCGGUACAAAGGGUAGCCAACCCGCGAGGGGGAGCCAAUCCCAUAAAGCCGGUCGUAGUCCGGAUCGCAGUCUGCAACUCGACUGCGUGAAGUCGGAAUCGCUAGUAAUCGUGGAUCAGCAUGUCACGGUGAAUACGUUCCC